UACGGAGGGAGCUAGCGUUGUUCGGAAUUACUGGGCGUAAAGCGCGCGUAGGCGGCUUUGUAAGUUAGAGGUGAAAGCCCGGAGCUCAACUCCGGAACUGCCUUUAAAACUGCAUCGCCUGAAUCCAGGAGAGGUGAGUGGAAUUCCGAGUGUAGAGGUGAAAUUCGUAGAUAUUCGGAAGAACACCAGUGGCGGAGGCGGCUCACUGGACUGGUAUUGACGCUGAGGUGCGAAAGCGUGGGGAGCAAACAGG
rnacentral:rRNA from 1 species